GACGAACGCUGGCGGCGUGCUUAACACAUGCAAGUCGAACGGAAAGGCCCUGCUUUUGUGGGGUGCUCGAGUGGCGAACGGGUGAGUAACACGUGAGUAACCUGCCCUUGACUUUGGGAUAACUUCAGGAAACUGGGGCUAAUACCGGAUAGGAGCUCCUGCUGCAUGGUGGGGGUUGGAAAGUUUCGGCGGUUGGGGAUGGACUCGCGGCUUAUCAGCUUGUUGGUGGGGUAGUGGCUUACCAAGGCUUUGACGGGUAGCCGGCCUGAGAGGGUGACCGGCCACAUUGGGACUGAGAUACGGCCCAGAAUCCUACGGGAGGCGGCAGUGGGGAAUAUUGCACAAUGGGCGGAAGCCUGAUGAAGCAACGCCGCGUGCGGGAUGACGGCCUUCGGGUUGUAAACCGCUUUCGCCUGUGACGAAGCGAGAGUGACGGUAAUGGGUAAAGAAGCACCGGCUAACUACGUG
rnacentral:rRNA from 1 species